UUAAACUGAAGAGUUUGAUCAUGGCUCAGAUUGAACGCUGGCGGCAGGCUUAACACAUGCAAGUCGAGCGGUAACAUUUCUAGCUUGCUAGA
rnacentral:rRNA from 1 species